GCAAUUUGGAGCUAAAUUGGACGCGUUGGCCAAUUAAUCAGGUGGUGAGUCCUCCGAUAAAGGUAAGGAAAUUGCAUUCGAGAACCAGUAGUCAGAGUACUUCGAAAAUCCGCACUCUAGACAUUGCUCAGAAUAGAUUGUAGAUAACUGAUAUCGUCGAGGACUACAGUUGAAUUUGUCACAUCCAAAAACUGUAGGUUCAUUUUUUUAAUACUUUUGGUCAUUCGUGGGCUCACUUGUUACUGUAAAUUAAA